CCUACGGGUGGCAGCAGUGAGGAAUAUUGGUCAAUGGACGAGAGUCUGAACCAGCCAAGUAGCGUGAAGGAUGACUGCCCUAUGGGUUGUAAACUUCUUUUAUAUGGGAAUAAAAUGUUCCACGUGUGGGAUUUUGUAUGUACCAUAUGAAUAAGGAUCGGCUAACUCCGUGCCAGCAGCCGCGGUAAUACGGAGGAUCCGAGCGUUAUCCGGAUUUAUUGGGUUUAAAGGGAGCGUAGGUGGAUUGUUAAGUCAGUUGUGAAAGUUUGCGGCUCAACCGGAAAAUUGCAGUUGAAACUGGCAGUCUUGAGUACAGUAGAGGUGGGCGGAAUUCGUGGUGUAGCGGUGAAAUGCUUAGAUAUCACGAGGAACUCCGAUUGCGAAGGCAGUUCACUGGACUGCAACUGACACUGAGGCUCGAAAGUGUGGGUAUCAAACAGGAUUAGAUACCCUAGUAGUC
rnacentral:rRNA from 1 species